GCUGGAGCCUCUCUGCCCCACACUCGGCCCUCGGGAGCCGGGUGCCCUGAGCCCUGAGCGUGGCCUUCCUUCCGGCAGUGUCUCCUCCCUCCUCUGACGAGUCCCCCGUGCCUGGAAGCAAGCAGCACGGAUAGUCUGUCCACCUUGCCGUCAGGAUGUCAGACCCACUGCCCCCAGCCAUGGCGGGACUGAGUCCGGCCUGGACCCAUAGGCCAGAGGCCAGACUCCUGUUCCCCUGUGAGCACCAGCGUGAGCCUGGCUGGGUCUCAGUGGCCAUGGGGGGCGACACAGGACCCCUGCCCGGGGCUGGGAAUGGCCCGCAGACUCUUGUCAUCCAGUUCUGCCAGAGACAAAAGUCCCGACAGGCCGAGGGCCACAUAGGCCAUCAAGGGACACAGAAGGGCUAAGAGCUGUCACUCCCAUGCUGCUCUCAGCAGCGCUCUGGCCUCCGGACUUUGGGGGGUGGUCUAUGGAGACCCCAAGACCCAGAAAUGUAGGACCUGCUUCCAGGGAGGCCCCCCUUGCCCCAAGUGGCUGGCCUGUCACUGCCCCCUGCCGGCCAUGCCGGCCCAGCACACUCCUGGCCCUGGAGGCAGAGGGAGGAGACCACGGGAGAACUCGGCCCAGUGUCAGCUCCAGUCAGCAUCACGGAGCCGGUUGCCGUGGCAACGGGAGGGCGGGGGUGGAGGGGCUGAGUCCCUCUGGAAAGCGGGAAUGUGCGUCUUCCUUCCCUGGAGCCAGAUUCUUCCCGCUCUGCCAAACCCAUGCGGCCAGCCAGGCCGGGAACGGGGCCAGGCCCUGCUGUCCCGGGGGCCCCCACCCCAGGGCCCUGGCACCCUGAGCACCAGGAGCAGGUUGGCCUCCAAGCAGCCCAGGCGGGAGCUGGCUGUAGCGCCAUCAUUGGAAGCCGGGACCCCAGCCCGCCGGCCCUGUUGGUAUGCAGCUCCGGUGGGGGCAGGGGUGCACCCAGUAUGUCCAGGACCAG
rnacentral:lncRNA from 1 species